rnacentral:lncRNA from 1 species
GAUUUGUCCAAAUAAACAUCCAAAUAUCCAAAUAAAUCAGAAAAUGCAUUUGGUGUUGAUCUAAAAACGCAGAUAACACAGACAACAAGGAUGACAAGAGCUGAAUGUGAAAAAAAAGAAAGAAGAACAAGAACUCCGUUUCCCAGCCUCAUUUGCAGCAGUGCCAUCAGUCAACCAAUGAAACUGUCUUGCGGAGAUACCUUCCUAUUUCGUGGUAUCGAGUUGAAGAGUGAGAUGCAUGAAUUACUGUCAGCAAACACAGAGAAGCUCGAGACCAGAGGACAGCUUCUGACAAUGGCUCAGGAGGAGCAGAGCGAGGCGGCUCAACAGACAGCAGGAGGCGAGGAGGAGAUGGACAGAUCAAAGCAGGUACUAGAUUGGGUCACUGCCCGUGAACCGUCAGUUGGCUCUGUGGACUUGUGGUCGGGCAGUUUCCAUCAGUUACAGUUCAUCUGCAACUACUGAAAUGACAGCUCAGAAUUAGUAAUGUGUUGUGUUUUCAUUUCCUUUUUUGUUUUUUGGUAGUCUGUUUGAGACGGUGUCAAUUUCUCUUUUUUAAGAGGUGUUUGCCAGCAGUUCUUUUAUGUUUCGGGCCUGCUGUGAAAUGACUGUCUACAGAUAAGUGGCAUUAUUCUGAGAAGGGCAAACACACACAUUUCUUAUUGCAAUAUUUGAAGUGCGCAUAAAGAAACUGAAGUCGAAAGUCACAGCCACUGUUCUGGUAACUGAAGUGAGAGGUACAAUAUGAGAAGUACAAAUUAGCUCAUCAAAUUUCCAAGGCCCAUGUUAGUUGAAAGCAUCUUGGUUUCUGUGGUGGAUUCUGCCCCACAGAUAGCAUCAGUCUGAACGCCAUUGACAGUCAUAGUGAGAAUCACAUAUCAACAUACUGACAUCAUCACCCACACAGUUUUCCAAAAAUUUCAAUUUGCGAAAAAUCAACUGAAUUCUUUCAGGCAAAUAUUCGAUAAAUAAUGUGAGAUGACAUCUGAAGGGCUACACUUUGUGGCUCACAGCGCUGACACUUCCUGUCGGCAGCCUAUGAUGCACAGCCCUUUUGUGAAUCAGAUUGAAAAGCUGUGAGUAACUUUAGAUGAACACGUUGAUGUGUUUGCAGUUUUCUCAUAUUGGGAGUUCUGAUUUUUAAAUUCAGGUGGGCAUUUACAGUACAUCACAUCUCUGGAAAUGCAUAAACUGAACCUAAGCAGUUUGUGAAUAUAGCAUUUUAUAGAAAGAUGCAAACUGAGGGGCUGAAGGGAUUUGAGAGAAAAGUAGUGAGUGCAGUUGGCUGCCGGCUGGGAAAAGCAGUAUGGAGCCACCAAACUGACUCAGUUUGGACUGUCUUAGUUUAAGGCCUGCACCUUCACUAUUACUCACUCUAGAGGUUUACUUCUCGGAACCAGGAACCACAUUGAGGAACUUGAUUCAAUAUGAAACCGCCUUGCUCGUUUUUGUUUUACAAUGAGUGCCACAGAAAUAGCGGUUUCGAGAUGUGAUGAUUAAAAGUAAAAUAUCGGCACUCAUUGUGGUAUUCGCCGAAUUAUGCUGCUUUGAAAUUGAUCAGGGAAGCAGCCAGUCCGCAUUUGAAUAUUUUAUGCACAGAGUUGUUUUUUUUUAUUAACUUCAAUUUAGUGACUAAUGUGUCACUCAUAGAGCUUAGAUUGCAAGAAUAAGUGUGUCAUUUCUAGAAAAAAAUCCCAUGUUUGCCUUGGUUCUCUCUAAAUUCUAUGUUCUUUUUGAGUCAGUGCAGAAUUUCCCAAACCUGAUUCUUGCUAUGCACAGGGUCUCGCUUACUUCUCUAAAAAAACUGGACAAUAUUU